CUACGGGGCGCUGCAGUGAGGAAUAUUGCACAAUGGAGGAAACUCUGAUGCAGCGACGCCGCGUGGAGGAUGACGCAUUUCGGUGUGUAAACUCCUUUUAUAUGUCAAGAAAAUGACGGUAGCACAUGAAUAAGCACCGGCUAACUCCGUGCCAGCAGCCGCGGUAAUACGGAGGGUGCAAGCGUUACUCGGAAUCACUGGGCGUAAAGGACGCGUAGGCGGGAUAUCAAGUCAGGUGUGAAAUCCUACAGCUUAACUGUAGAACUGCACUUGAAACUGGUAACCUAGAGUAUGGGAGGGGGAGAUGGAAUUAGUGGUGUAGGGGUAAAAUCCGUAGAUAUCACUAGGAAUACCUAAAGCGAAGGCGAUCUCCUGGAACAUAACUGACGCUAAGGCGUGAAAGCGUGGGGAGCAAACAGGAUUAGAUACCCCGGUAGUC
rnacentral:rRNA from 1 species